rnacentral:rRNA from 1 species
UUGACCUCAAAUCGAGUAGGACUACCCGCUGAACUUAAGCAUAUCAAUAAGCGGAGGAAAAGAAACUAACAAGGAUUCCCCUAGUAACGGCGAGUGAAGAGGGAAGAGCUCAAAUUUUGAAUCUGGCGUCUUUGGCG